rnacentral:rRNA from 1 species
GACGUAGGGCGCGAGCGUUGUCCGGAUUUAUUGGGCGUAAAGAGCUCGUAGGUGGCUUGUCACGUCGGGUGUGAAAGCUUGGGGCUUAACUCCAGGUCUGCAUUCGAUACGGGCUGGCUAGAGGUAGGUAGGGGAGAACGGAAUUCCUGGUGUAGCGGUGAAAUGCGCAGAUAUCAGGAGGAACACCGGUGGCGAAGGCGGGACUCUGGGUCGAUACUGACGCUGAGGAGCGAAAGCGUGGGGAGCGAACAGG